CUCGCCCUGCGCUCCUUCCCGGCAUGGCCAGAGCCUCGGCGGGGCUCCGGAGCCGCAACCGCCGCGGAGAUGCUGCUCCCGUCCAUCCCUCUGCUCCUCUGGCUCUUCCUGCUGCUCCCAGGUUCCACAGCCUCCACAAACUCCUCCAUCGAUGCUGUAACAGGUCCACCCCAGCCAACAACACCCAGCCCUGAAGUGAAGAACCACACCUCAGGUAACACCUAGCUGGAGACCCAGGGAACAGCUGGAGCUGUGUCAGGGCAGGCUCAGG